UGGAUAUUCAGAAACCGAAGGCAUAAUUCAUAUUCCUCCAACAAGUCCACGCAAAUAACCACAAUCAGAAUGUUAGUUCAUAACUGGCCAUAUAGAACGCAAUACAAAAGCACUAAAAGCGUCCAAGUGAAAGUGCUUUCUCCUCAUGUAGUUUCAUUUAACUUAGUUUCACAUGCCAGUCCGUCACACACUCAACUCCUCAACGUUCGGGCUCAAAGCAUUCUUUAUCCCUUAUGUACGAGAGACAAUAAGUUUAAAGUUCUUGUGAUGAAAUCAUGUAAAACAUUCAGAAAUCUUGAUUUAACCCUUUCUCAAGAUCAUAGGUUGUGUCAUCUCAACCUAUAUCUUAGGUCUCAUGAGUGCUCGUAAUACACUAAUAUGACGCUUGUUUUCUGGCCAGGACAGAAACAAAAUCAUGCAGGAAAUUGUCAUGACAACUUAAGCGUAAAAUGCGACCGGAAAAACACUAAACAGGAUAGCUAUGCUUUCUUCGUGUAAACCUUAACAACAAAGACAAUACCGUAUCUGUCACAGUGAUAUGCGACCAUAAGCCCAACUCCAAGGAUCAGCUUUCCAAGAGCUUUGAAGGCUACAAAUCAAAAGUUACAUGCAGUGAUGACAUAAUCAUGAAAAAAUACAAUCAUAAAUUAAAGGAAAACAUACCGACU
rnacentral:lncRNA from 1 species